rnacentral:rRNA from 1 species
GGCAUCAGGGUUCGAUUCCGGAGAGGGAGCCUGAGAAACGGCUACCACAUCUAAGGAAGGCAGCAGGCGCGCAAAUUACCCAAUCCAGACAUUGGGAGGUAGUGACGAGAAAUACCAAAGUGUGCCUUUUGGUUCACUAUUGGAAUGAACGUAACACAGUACCUUCGAUGAGUACCAACUGGAGGGCAAGUCUGGUGCCAGCAGCCGCGGUAAUUCCAGCUCCAGUAGUGUAUAUCAAAAUUGUUGCGGUUAAAACGCUCGUAGUUGGAUUACAAAAGUCGGGCGUCAGCUUAGUACUUACUUGGUUGACGUCGGGCUUUUUUAUCGCAAGAACCACUCGUGCAUUUCAAACUGUGCGGGUGACCACUUGCGGAGCGUGCCUUGAAUAAAGCACAGUGCUCAAAGCAAGCGUAACGCUCGAAUGUUUAAGCAUGGAACGAAUAUCCCUGACAGGGUUCAGUUGUUGGUUAUCUGAGCCGGGUCAUGAUUAAAAGGGACAUUUGAGGGCGUUAGUACUUGGCGGCGAGAGGUGAAAUUCUUAGACCCGUCAAAGACUCACUAAUGCGAAAGCAUUCGCCAAGAGUGUUUUCAUUGAUCAAGAACGAAAGUUAGAGGUUCGAAGACGAUCAGAUACCGUCCUAGUUCUAUACAGUAAACUAUGCCACCACGGGAUCAGUCCGGGGAACUGCAUCCAGGUUGGUCCCUCAAGGAAACUCCAAGAUUUCGGGUUCCUGGGGGAGUACGGGCUCAAGUCUGAAACUUAAAGGAAUUGACGGAAGGGCACCACCAGGAGUGGAGCCUGCGGCUUAAUUUGACUCAACACGGGACAACUCACCAGGUCCAGACAUUGAAAGGAUUGACAGACUGAUAGAUCUUUCAAGAUCCAAUGAUUGGUGGUGCAUGGCCGUUCUUAGUUGGUGGAGCGAUCUGUCAGGUCUAUUCCGGUAACGAGCGAGACCACGAUCUCUAGUUGAUUACGGCUUCUUUGGAGUGGCUGAUCCUAGAGAGACAACCGGAAUACAAGCCGGGGGAAGCGUGGCAAUAACAGGUCUGUGAUGCCCUUCGAUGUUCUGGGCCGCACGCGCGCUACAAUGGCAGCGACAACAAGUUUCUCUUCCGAGAGGAGUGGGAAAUCUUACCAAUCGCUGUCGUGAUUGGGAUUGAGCCUUGUAAUAAUUGCUCAUGAAAGAGGAAUUCCUCGUAAGCGCGAGUCACCAACUCGUGUUGAAUACGUCUCUGCCCUUUGUACACACCGCCCGUCGCUACUACCGAUUGAAUGACUUUUCGAGAUGCCGGGAUUGGGCGUCGCAAGACGCUCAAGAGCU